UUUUGGACAAUGGGGGCAACCCUGAUCCAGCAAUGCCGCGUGAGUGAAGAAGGCCUUCGGGUUGUAAAGCUCUUUUGUCAGGGAAGGAACGGUAAUAGCUAAUAUCUAUUACUAAUGACGGUACCUGAAGAAUAAGCACCGGCUAACUACGUGCCAGCAGCCGCGGUAAUACGUAGGGUGCAAGCGUUAAUCGGAAUUACUGGGCGUAAAGCGUGCGCAGGCGGUUGUGUAAGUCAGAUGUGAAAUCCCCGGGCUCAACCUGGGAAUUGCAUUUGAGACUGCACGGCUAGAGUGUGUCAGAGGGGGGUAGAAUUCCACGUGUAGCAGUGAAAUGCGUAGAUAUGUGGAGGAAUACCGAUGGCGAAGGCAGCCCCCUGGGAUAACACUGACGCUCAUGCACGAAA
rnacentral:rRNA from 1 species